rnacentral:rRNA from 1 species
UACGUAGGGUGCGAGCGUUGUCCGGAAUUAUUGGGCGUAAAGAGCUCGUAGGCGGUUUGUUGCGUCGGUCGUGAAAACCUGGGGCUUAACCCUGGGCCUGCGAUCGAUACGGGCAGACUUGAGUUCGGUAGGGAGACUGGAAUUCCUGGUGUAGCGGUGAAAUGCGCGAUAUCAGGAGGAACACCGGUGGCGAAGGCGGUGGUCUGGGCCGGCACUGACGCUGAGGAGCGAAAGCGUGGGUAGCAAACAGG